UCGUUCCAGCUCCUCAGGGAUCAUUUCGAUAGCUUGUUAUCAGAGAACUUUCUCUGAUUGUGAAGAGCAUCUGAAACCACGAAGAAGAGUCACAGUAUCUACUUCUGAUAAGUGUGAAGCUAGUUCUAGGUGUUGCUUUUGCAACUGUCCUUUGCCAUUGAUGAUCAUUCUUCUCUUCCUUCUGGAAGGGCUAAUCUGAGUGGU